rnacentral:rRNA from 1 species
UACGAAGGGGGCUAGCGUUGUUCGGAUUUACUGGGCGUAAAGAGCUCGUAGGCGGCUUGUCGCGUCGUCCGUGAAAACCCACAGCUCAACUGUGGGCUUGCGGUCGAUACGGGCAGGCUAGAGUUCGGUAGGGGAGACUGGAAUUCCUGGUGUAGCGGUGAAAUGCGCAGAUAUCAGGAGGAACACCGGUGGCGAAGGCGGGUCUCUGGGGCCGAUACUGACGCUGAGGAGCGAAAGCGUGGGGAGCGAACAGG